rfam:Nematostella vectensis strain CH2 x CH6 NEMVEscaffold_486_Cont28486, whole genome shotgun sequence.
GUUGCCGUGGCCGAGCGGUUAAGGCGUUGGACUAGAAAUCCAAUGGGAUCUUCCCGCGCAGGUUCGAAUCCUGCCCGCAAUG